UACGAAGGGGGCGAGCGUUAUUCGGAAUCACUGGGCGUAAAGCGUGCGUAGGCUGUCUUGCAAGUUGGGAGUGAAAGCCCAGGGCUUAACCCUGGAAUUGCUUUCAAAACUGCAAGGCUCGAGUCCGGGAGAGGAUAGCGGAAUUUCCAGUGUAGUAGUGAAAUACGUAGAUAUUGGAAGGAACACCAGUGGCGCAAGCGGCUAUCUGGACCGGUACUGACGCUGAGGCACGAAAGCGUGGGGAU
rnacentral:rRNA from 1 species